rnacentral:lncRNA from 1 species
CCAGCCUGGGCGACACAGCGAGACUCCAUCUCAAAAAAAAGAAGGCCUGAGCCAUUUGAGAGUUCAUGCCCCUUUGAAGGCUGGGAAUCUGAACACUAGUUCUGCCCUCAGGAGCCAGGAUAUGGCCUGGGCAUCAUCUCCAGCUUGGUUCCAGCUUAUUCCCCACCAUUGGCCCGCUGUCCAGCCCUCUGCAUGUUUCUGGGCCACCAGUGGUCCCUACACGCCAACCAGAGGAUUCCAAGAGUAUCUCACCUGGAAGAUCCUAAGGAAUCACCCAGUCUAGUGGAGAUGGUCUCUAGAGUGUUUGAAAAUGUUUUGGAGUCUUUUUCAUUGUAAUAGUGAUUAGAGAUGUUCUGGCAUUGGGUGCCCCAGGCCGGGCAUGCUAGAUCCCACAAUGGACAAGGCAGUUUGCAUAGUGAAGCAUUGCACCCCUAUUCUCCUUGGAGAAACACCACUUCUAGUCCAAAGUACUUCUUGUACAGUUGUAGAAACUAAGAGCCAGGGAGGAUAAGGUACUGGCCCAAGACUAAGCAGCAAAUUUGUCUCAUAGGUAUUCUAAUAAUGAGGAUCCAAGAGUUCUGUUUCUUGGUGAUUUCAAUGGUAUCUAGCCUCAAAAUCCACUAGCAGUCACCAAGUUUGGGGCAUGAUGGGAGAGAUGAAGACUAACGUGAGUCAUUGGGAAGACUUUGUAGAGGUGUCAUUUGGGCUAAGCUUUGAAGGAUGACUUGUGGACCUGUCACUCUCGAAAGUGGGAGAGGGCACAACAGACAAAAUGGUCAAUAGUGGGGAAAGGACUAGAGCCUAGGAGUGAAGGUGGCUGAGGAAUGAGCACAGGCUUUGGAAAGGAGAGCAGUGGAAGAUGGAGGAUGAAAGGAAGGUGACCUGAGGCUAGAUCACAGAGGACUUUGCGUGUCAAAUUGAGUAUUGGGGUUGGUUCCAGGACCCCUGCGGAUACCAAAAUCUUGGAAUGCUAAAGUUCCUUAUAUAUAAUAAUGUAGUAUUUGCAUAUAACCUAUGCACAUCCUCCUAUACACUUUAAAUCAUCUCUAGAUUACUUAUAAUAUCUAA